ACUCCUACGGGAGGCAGCAGUAGGGAAUCUUCCACAAUGGACGAAAGUCUGAUGGAGCAACGCCGCGUGAGUGAAGAAGGGUUUCGGCUCGUAAAACUCUGUUGUUAAAGAAGAACAUAUCUGAGAGUAACUGUUCAGGUAUUGACGGUAUUUAACCAGAAAGCCACGGCUAACUACGUGCCAGCAGCCGCGGUAAUACGUAGGUGGCAAGCGUUGUCCGGAUUUAUUGGGGCGUAAAGCGAGCGCAGGCGGUUUUUAAGUCUGAUGUGAAAGCCUUCGGCUCAACCGAAGAAGUGCAUCGGAAACUGGGAAACUUGAGUGCAGAAGAGGACAGUGGAACUCCAUGUGUAGCGGUGAAAUGCGUAGAUAUAUGGAAGAACACCAGUGGCGAAGGCGGCUGUCUGGUCUGUAACUGACGCUGAGGCUCGAAAGUAUGGGUAGCAAACAGGAUUAGAUACCCUGGUAGGAAAGCC
rnacentral:rRNA from 1 species